AUUGAACGCUGGCGGCAAGCCUAACACAUGCAAGUCGAACGAGUGGCGGACGGGUCAGUAAUGUCUGGGAAACUGCCUGAUGGAGGGGGAUAACUACUGGAAACGGUAGCUAAUACCGCAUACCAUCGGAUGUGCGCAGAGGGGAUUAGCUAGUAGGUGGGAUAACGGCUCACCUAGGCGACGAUCCCUAGCUGCUCUGAGAGGAUGACCAGCCACACUGGAACUGAGACACGGUCCAGACUCCUACGGGAGUCAGCAGUGGGGAAUAUUGCACAAUGGGCGCAAGCCUGAUGCAGCCAUGCCGCGUGUAUGAAGAAGGCCUUCGGGGUGUAAAGUACUUUCAUCGGGGAGGCGUUACCCGCAGAAGAAGCACCGGCUAACUCCGUGCCAGCAGCCGCGGUAAUUC
rnacentral:rRNA from 1 species